rnacentral:rRNA from 1 species
GAUGAACGCUGGCGGCGUGCCUAACACAUGCAAGUCGAGCGAUUCUCUUCGGAAGAGAGCGGCGGACGGGUGAGUAACGCGUGGGUAACCUGCCCUGUACACACGGAUAACAUACCGAAAGGUAUGCUAAUACGAGAUAAUAUGCUUUUAUCGCAUGGUAGAAGUAUCAAAGCUCCGGCGGUACAGGAUGGACCCGCGUCUGAUUAGCUAGUUGGUAAGGUAACGGCUUACCAAGGCGACGAUCAGUAGCCGACCUGAGAGGGUGAUCGGCCACAUUGGAACUGAGACACGGUCCAAACUCCUACGGGAGGCAGCAGUGGGGAAUAUUGCACAAUGGGCGAAAGCCUGAUGCAGCAACGCCGCGUGAGCGAUGAAGGCCUUCGGGUCGUAAAGCUCUGUCCUCAAGGAAGAUAAUGACGGUACUUGAGGAGGAAGCCUCGGCUAACUACGUGCCAGCAGCCGCGGUAAUACGUAGGGGGCUAGCGUUAUCCGGAAUUACUGGGCGUAAAGGGUGCGUAGGUGGUUUCUUAAGUCAGAGGUGAAAGGCUACGGCUCAACCGUAGUAAGCCUUUGAAACUGGGAAACUUGAGUGCAGGAGAGGAGAGUGGAAUUCCUAGUGUAGCGGUGAAAUGCGUAGAUAUUAGGAGGAACACCAGUUGCGAAGGCGGCUCUCUGGACUGUAACUGACACUGAGGCACGAAAGCGUGGGGAGCAAACAGGAUUAGAUACCCUGGUAGUCCACGCCGUAAACGAUGAGUGCUAGGUGUUAGGCCCUUUCCGGGGCUUAGUGCCGCAGCUAACGCAUUAAGCACUCCGCCUGGGGAGUACGACCGCAAGGUUGAAACUCAAAGGAAUUGACGGGGGCCCGCACAAGCGGUGGAGCAUGUGGUUUAAUUCGAAGCAACGCGAAGAACCUUACCAGGUCUUGACAUCCCAGUGACCGCUCUAGAGAUAGAGCUUUUCUUCGGAACACUGGUGACAGGUGGUGCAUGGUUGUCGUCAGCUCGUGUCGUGAGAUGUUGGGUUAAGUCCCGCAACGAGCGCAACCCUUAUUGUUAGUUGCCAUCAUUCAGUUGGGCACUCUAGCGAGACUGCCGGUAAUAAACCGGAGGAAGGUGGGGAUGACGUCAAAUCAUCAUGCCCCUUAUGACCUGGGCUACACACGUGCUACAAUGGUUGGUACAACGAGUCGCAAGUCGGUGACGGCAAGCAAAUCUCUUAAAGCCAAUCUCAGUUCGGAUUGUAGGCUGCAACUCGCCUACAUGAAGUCGGAAUCGCUAGUAAUCGCGGAUCAGCACGCCGCGGUGAAUACGUUCCCGGGCCUUGUACACACCGCCCGUCACACCACGAGAGUUUGUAACACCCGAAGUCGGUGAGGUAACCGUAAGGAGCCAGCCGCCUAAGGUGGGAUAGAUGAUUGGGGUG